UGCGCCCAGACCCACCUUCGUGGACGGGUUGUGUUUAUUAGGUACAGAAUCAACCCAGGCUCUGCCUUGUCUUUUGGUGAUUCAUGAUAACCGANCGANUCGUAUGGCAUCAGCCGACGAUGAAUCAUUCAAGUUUCUGACCUAUCAGCUUCCGACGGUAGGGUAUUGGCCUACCGUGGCAAUGACGGGUAACGGAUAAUUAGGGUUCGAUUCCGGAGAGGGAGCCUGAGAAACGGCUACCUCAUCUAAGGAAGGCAGCAGGCGCGCAAGUUACCCAGCUCCUGACACAGGGAGGUAGUGACAAGAAAUAACAGUACAGGGCAUCCAUGUCUUGUAAUUGGUCUGAANACAAUUUANAUCCCUUUAUGAGUAUCGAUUGGAGGGCAAGUCUGGUGCCAGCAGCCGCGGUAAUUCGAGCUCCAAUACCGUAGUAUCAAANUUGUUGCGGUUAAAANGCUCGUNUUUGGGUUUCUGUUGACGUCGGCCGGUGUACACCUCNUGUAUUANUGUGUUCCGGUCCUCGACAACCNCUUGGGGAACGCUUCUANCCUUNAUUGGGCUGGACGGGANUCAUCACUUUUACUUUGAGGAACUUAGAAUGUUCACGGCAAGGAAGUGCUUUGGAUUCAUAACAUGGCAGACUAGUAUAGGACCUCCNUCCAAUUUUGGUGGGNUCCAAGAACUUAGGUAUGAUNAAUUAGGGACAAUUGGGGCAUUCCGUUAUUAAACGCCGUCAGAGGUGG
rnacentral:rRNA from 1 species